AACAAAUGAAUGGAUUUAGGAGUAGUCUAGGAACCACUAUUCUAUGUAAUCAAAAAAAACAAAAACCAUCAAGAUGGCAACUAGUUUUGUAGAUUUCGACGGAUUUUGAAUAUGAUCUUGGUUAAUUGGAACAAUUCUGGCUAGAGAAGAUUCAAAAAUUGAUGGGCUCAACUGCGACGGAUUUUGCUAGGUCUAAUUAGGCAAAGAGGUGGUUCUUAAAGAAGAUAGAGAAGGUUCAUAUUCUGCUCUCUUAUGACAUUUCAGCACUUGCUCACUAAUUUAUCAUGCUACAAAGAGUAACCACCUGUAUAACCAUCGGGAUGAACUUAAAUUUUACUUGACAAUUGACAUACAGACAUGGCACCAGCAGUUAGAGCAUGAUUCUUAUACUUCGCUCGCGAGUUUUCUAAAUAUGUGGUCAAAAUAGUUACCAAUUUGUGCAGAGCUUGUAGUUUUACUCGAUUCACUAACUCACCCAUGUAAUAUUAUUUGUGAAGGUGUUGUGCAAAGGAUUAAAAAGAAAAACAGUUGCAGAACUAAAAGUUUUUUAGGAUAAAGUUUUAGCAGUAAUGGAGAUACGACAUCAAGUUGAAUGCCAAGAAAUCUCUGUGUGUUGUCAGUCUGUAACUGAGUCUAUUUUGACACUUCAAUGUCCAUCAGCUUUGAGGAAUAUAAACUUGUUGCCUGACAUAUUAUAGUGGACUUACAUGCUCUGUGAGGCAAAAAA